GCCUGGGUGGCUCAGUCGGUUCAGCGUCUGACUUUAGCUCAGGUCAUGAUCUUGUGUUUGUGAGUUCGAGCCCCGCGUCGGGCU
rnacentral:tRNA from 1 species